GUGGGUGUAGCGUAGUUGGCCUAACGCGUCAGUUUGUGGCACUGAAGAUCGUGGGUUCGAAUCCCAUCUCCCACCCCA
rnacentral:tRNA from 1 species